GGUUCGUUGGCGCACUGGAAGGCGCUGGUGCAUCCCGAGGAUGUGGCGCGAGUCAGCAGCACGUUCGAGAACGCCGUUCAGAGUGGCGAUGAUCGC
rnacentral:tRNA from 1 species